AGUAGCGUGGUUCACGUUUCUAUGAAAAAGACAAAAGUUGUUAUUUUUUCUUGCAUCAACCGGAAUUUCGUUCUUUUAUGUCCCCAGAAGCACUCCUGAAAAUUUGAGCCCAUUUGGUAAGGUCUAGGAGCUCCAGUUUUAAUUUGAAAUUUAUAUGGGAUUUUGAUUUAUUUUCCAUGGGAAACUAUCUUUUUUUACAUUGUAUUAGGAAUUAUUUUUUAUAAAUCGAUUAAAUGACUUGAUUCUUAUAGUAGGAGAUAGGUUUUGAACUGGGGAACAACUUUGUAGAACAUACCAACAUGCUAGGAAGUGACCCUUUAAAGAUACAGAUACUUUUAGAUGGUGGCUUUUGAAGGGGCUUUACUGUGUGGGGUGAAACGGGCUAGCUGGCGUAAGUUCAAGAUAUCUUUGGUUUUUCAUCGAUGGUGCUUUGACUUUUUCUAGUCAUAUUUACAAAGUUAUUUUUAGAACGUUUAUUUAUAGACAAGCAUGGGCUACGGUUUUGGCCAGCAGUGUUUUGUGAGUUUUCAACGAUAGCAAAAUCUUUUCCUUGGACAAUCUGGCCACCGGUGUUGUUCCAGGUUAUCAAAUGGAUGAUGAGACAGUUCGGACACCGGCACUGUUCCGGGUUGGCGGUUUGCUGUUUGUCAAAUAUGUUUUACAAGAAUUGGUGGACAGUUUCGACACCGGCAUUGUUCCGGGUUGGCGGUUGGCGGGUUAUCACGUGUGGAACAUCGUUCGAUUGCAUCUCGGACUCUUAAGCAGCACGUGAACGACGCAACGAUGACUUCCCAGAAGACGACCGCUCACUCCGGAUCGGUAAGAGUUAGUUCCACUAUAGCUGCCAAAGUGUAUAUCCAUUACAUUACCCGCAGAUAUCACAGCUCUCUGAGCCGGACCGACCAUUAGCGCUCUGUAGAGGUGGACCAGGUGAAGAGCACGAGGCCAUACAGAAAAAAAUCAGCACGUCGCAAAUCCCGACAACAUCCAACGAGUACUUCGGGAAGGUCAAAGCGGAGAACAACGAGAACCUCGCCCUGUAUGAAGCGCCGAGAACGACGUUUCUGAACACCGCCAGCUGGAUCGGACGCACGACGUAGGUGAAGGUAUUUAGGAACAAGCUGGCAGACAAUAAUUAAGACCCUGUCUCAGGUGAGCAAGAGCGUUCAGACGCACACGGAGACACACCGGCUAUGCCCCUUAGGACGACUCCGAUCUAGAUCGGACGCGCGAGAGUGGAGACGGCAGGAGAGACGAAUCGCAGGCCAGAAAUCAACCGUCACCACUGCAAACACGGGUACAAGUGAAGCACGGCCCAUUAUCAAGGUCAAGCAGACAUGGAAACAAGAUGUAUGUUCGCUGAACCACGCGGAGUCUCACCGACACCAAUAAAUUGCCCAACUCAGACAACAAGAGCGGUACUCGAAGCACACGGAUAACUACAGGAGUUACUGAAGCUAGAAAAAACGCCCCAUGGACCGAACGGGGUUUGGUGUUCCUGUCCCUGAGCGCGAGGACGGAUCAAUCGUGCACAGGUUGAGCUGAUUGGCUGGUGGAUUCGACUAAAGCGCUUCAUUCGCUCCAAGCAUCUGGUAGAGCAGGGCCAUGCGCGCUGAUGGAGUGCUCGAAAAUCGGGCGCAUCACGUGGACGCAGAGCGGAGUGCGUGCCAACACCGUACGCGCAACAAUAUCCUACGCGUCGGGCGGACGCAAAGCUUCGUGCGCGGCAACACCGUACAUCAGAGACAUGCGAGGUUGAAGUAGGAGUUUUGAAUCUAUUUUCAACCUUAUCAACAGCUGUUAAAAUGAGUUAUUGCGUUGAUUGUUUUAAUUAUUUAAAAAACUGAAAUACACAAACAAUCGAAACAGUGUUGUUUACUUUAGGUUCUGUCCCGAAAUGCAAUUCCCAAUCUGAAACUAACCCCUGAUUAAAUCGACUCCCAAACUAUAUCCUUCAAUCCCGACCAAUUUCGUAAGCGUGACCAGCCCCUCCCCGUCCUCCCAUCUUUUCAAACUUCUUAACUGAUCGAAAGACAACUGUGUCGAUCCCCUAACAAGAACAGUCUUUGAUAACCCGCCAACCGCCAACCCGGAACAAUGCCGGUGUCGAAACUGUCCACCAAUUCUUGUAAAACAUAUUUGACAAACAGCAAACCGCCAACCCGGAACAGUGCCGGUGUCCGAACUAUCUCAUCAUCCAUUUGAUAACCUGGAACAACACCGGUGGCCAGAUUGUCCAAGGAAAAGAUUUUGCUAUCGUUGAAAACUCACAAAACACUGCUGGCCAAAACCGUAGCCCAUGCUUGUCUAUAAAUAAACGUUCCAAAAAUAACUUUGUAAAUAUGACUAGAAAAAGUCAAAGCACCAUCGAUGAAAAACCAAAGAUAUCUUGAACUUACGCCAGCUAGCCCGUUUCACCCCACACAGUAAAGCCCCUUCAAAAGCCACCAUCUAAAAGUAUCUGUAUCUUUAAAGGGUCACUUCCUAGCAUGUUGGUAUGUUCUACAAAGUUGUUCCCCAGUUCAAAACCUAUCUCCUACUAUAAGAAUCAAGUCAUUUAAUCGAUUUAUAAAAAAUAAUUCCUAAUACAAUGUAAAAAAAGAUAGUUUCCCAUGGAAAAUAAAUCAAAAUCCCAUAUAAAUUUCAAAUUAAAACUGGAGCUCCUAGACCUUACCAAAUGGGCUCAAAUUUUCAGGAGUGCUUCUGGGGACAUAAAAGAACGAAAUUCCGGUUGAUGCAAGAAAAAAUAACAACUUUUGUCUUUUUCAUAGAAACGU